rnacentral:rRNA from 1 species
AUUGAACGCUGGCGGCAUGCUUUACACAUGCAAGUCGAACGGCAGCGCGGGCUUCGGCCUGGCGGCGAGUGGCGAACGGGUGAGUAAUACAUCGGAACGUGCCCAGUAGUGGGGGAUAGCUCGGCGAAAGCCGGAUUAAUACCGCAUACGACCUGAGGGUGAAAGCGGGGGAUCUUCGGACCUCGCGCUAUUGGAGAGGCCGAUGGCAGAUUAGCUAGUUGGUGGGGUAAAGGCCUACCAAGGCGACGAUCUGUAGCUGGUCUGAGAGGACGACCAGCCACACUGGGACUGAGACACGGCCCAGACUCCUACGGGAGGCAGCAGUGGGGAAUUUUGGACAAUGGGCGAAAGCCUGAUCCAGCAAUGCCGCGUGUGUGAUGAAGGCCUUCGGGUUGUAAAGCACUUUUGGCGGGAACGAAAAGGACUGUGCCAAUACCACGGUUCGAUGACGGUACCCGCAGAAUAAGCACCGGCUAACUACGUG